rnacentral:rRNA from 1 species
GGUUAAGCGACUAAGCGUACACGGUGGAUGCCCUGGCAGUCAGAGGCGAUGAAGGACGUGCUAAUCUGCGAUAAGCGUCGGUAAGGUGAUAUGAACCGUUAUAACCGGCGAUUUCCGAAUGGGGAAACCCAGUGUGAUUCGUCACACUAUCAUUAACUGAAUCCAUAGGUUAAUGAGGCGAACCGGGGAACUGAAACAUCUAAGUACCCCGAGGAAAAGAAAUCAACCGAGAUUCCCCCAGUAGCGGCGAGCGAACGGGGAGGAGCCCAGAGCCUGAAUCAGUGUGUGUGUUAGUGGAAGCGUCUGGAAAGGCGCGCGAUACAGGGUGACAGCCCCGUACACAAAAAUGCACAUGCUGUGAGCUCGAUGAGUAGGGCGGGACACGUGGUAUCCUGUCUGAAUAUGGGGGACCAUCCUCCAAGGCUAAAUACUCCUGACUGACCGAUAGUGAACCAGUACCGUGAGGGAAAGGCGAAAAGAACCCCGGCGAGGGGAGUGAAAAAGAACCUGAAACCGUGUACGUACAAGCAGUGGGAGCCUCUUUAUGGGGUGACUGCGUACCUUUUGUAUAAUGGGUCAGCGACUUAUAUUCUGUAGCAAGGUUAACCGAAUAGGGGAGCCGAAGGGAAACCGAGUCUUAACUGGGCGUUAAGUUGCAGGGUAUAGACCCGAAACCCGGUGAUCUAGCCAUGGGCAGGUUGAAGGUUGGGUAACACUAACUGGAGGACCGAACCGACUAAUGUUGAAAAAUUAGCGGAUGACUUGUGGCUGGGGGUGAAAGGCCAAUCAAACCGGGAGAUAGCUGGUUCUCCCCGAAAGCUAUUUAGGUAGCGCCUCGUGAAUUCAUCUCCGGGGGUAGAGCACUGUUUCGGCAAGGGGGUCAUCCCGACUUACCAACCCGAUGCAAACUGCGAAUACCGGAGAAUGUUAUCACGGGAGACACACGGCGGGUGCUAACGUCCGUCGUGAAGAGGGAAACAACCCAGACCGCCAGCUAAGGUCCCAAAGUCAUGGUUAAGUGGGAAACGAUGUGGGAAGGCCCAGACAGCCAGGAUGUUGGCUUAGAAGCAGCCAUCAUUUAAAGAAAGCGUAAUAGCUCACUGGUCGAGUCGGCCUGCGCGGAAGAUGUAACGGGGCUAAACCAUGCACCGAAGCUGCGGCAGCGACACUAUGUGUUGUUGGGUAGGGGAGCGUUCUGUAAGCCUGCGAAGGUGUACUGUGAGGUAUGCUGGAGGUAUCAGAAGUGCGAAUGCUGACAUAAGUAACGAUAAAGCGGGUGAAAAGCCCGCUCGCCGGAAGACCAAGGGUUCCUGUCCAACGUUAAUCGGGGCAGGGUGAGUCGACCCCUAAGGCGAGGCCGAAAGGCGUAGUCGAUGGGAAACAGGUUAAUAUUCCUGUACUUGGUGUUACUGCGAAGGGGGACGGAGAAGGCUAUGUUGGUAGGGCGACGGUUGUCCCGGUUUAAGCGUGUAGGCUGGUUUUCCAGGCAAAUCCGGAAAAUCAAGGCUGAGGCGUGAUGACGAGGCACUACGGUGCUGAAGCAACAAAUGCCCUGCUUCCAGGAAAAGCCUCUAAGCAUCAGGUAACAUCAAAUCGUACCCCAAACCGACACAGGUGGUCAGGUAGAGAAUACCAAGGCGCUUGAGAGAACUCGGGUGAAGGAACUAGGCAAAAUGGUGCUGUAACUUCGGGAGAAGGCACGCUGAUAUGUAGGUGAAGUCCCUCGCGGAUGGAGCUGAAAUCAGUCGAAGAUACCAGCUGGCUGCAACUGUUUAUUAAAAACACAGCACUGUGCAAACACGAAAGUGGACGUAUACGGUGUGACGCCUGCCCGGUGUCGGAAGGUUAAUUGAUGGGGUUAGCGGUAACGCGAAGCUCUUGAUCGAAGCCCCGGUAAACGGCGGUACGUAACUAUAACGGUCCUAAGGUAGCGAAAUUCCUUGUCGGGUAAGUUCCGACCUGCACGAAUGGCGUAAUGAUGGUCAGGCUGUCUCCACCCGAGACUCAGUGAAAUUGAACUCGCUGUGAAGAUGCAGUGUACCCGCGGCAAGACGGAAAGACCCCGUGAACCUUUACUAUAGCUUGACACUGAACAUUGAGCCUUGAUGUGUAGGAUAGGUGGGAGGCUUUGAAGUGUGGACGCCAGUCUGCAUGGAGCCGACCUUGAAAUACCACCCUUUAAUGUUUGAUGUUCUAACGUUGGCCCCUGAUCGGGGUUGCGGACAGUGUCUGGUGGGUAGUUUGACUGGGGCGGUCUCCUCCUAAAGAGUAACGGAGGAGCACGAAGGUUGGCUAAUCCUGGUCGGACAUCAGGAGGUUAGUGCAAUGGCAUAAGCCAGCUUGACUGCGAGCGUGACGGCGCGAGCAGGUGCGAAAGCAGGUCAUAGUGAUCCGGUGGUUCUGAAUGGAAGGGCCAUCGCUCAACGGAUAAAAGGUACUCCGGGGAUAACAGGCUGAUACCGCCCAAGAGUUCAUAUCGACGGCGGUGUUUGGCACCUCGAUGUCGGCUCAUCACAUCCUGGGGCUGAAGUAGGUCCCAAGGGUAUGGCUGUUCGCCAUUUAAAGUGGUACGCGAGCUGGGUUUAGAACGUCGUGAGACAGUUCGGUCCCUAUUCUGCCGUGGGCGCUGGAGAACUGAGGGGGCUGCUCCUAGUACGAGAGGACCGGAGUGGACGCAUCACUGGUGUUCGGGUUGUCAUGCCAAUGGCACUGCCCGGUAGCUAAAUGCGGAAGAGAUAAGUGCUGAAAGCAUCUAAGCACGAAACUUGCCCCGAGAUGAGUUCUCCCUGACUCCUUGAGAGUCCUGAAGGAACGUUGAAGACGACGACGUUGAUAGGCCGGGUGUGUAAGCGCAGCGAUGCGUUGAGCUAACCGGUACUAAUGAACCGUGAGGCUUAACCUU